rnacentral:rRNA from 1 species
GUGUCAGCCGCCGCGGUAAUACAGAGGGUGCAAGCGUUAAUCGGAUUUACUGGGCGUAAAGCGCGCGUAGGCGGCCAAUUAAGUCAAAUGUGAAAUCCCCGAGCUUAACUUGGGAAUUGCAUUCGAUACUGGUUGGCUAGAGUGGGGGGGAGGAUGGUAGAAUUCCGGGUGUAGCGGUGAAAUGCGUAGAGAUCUGGAGGAAUACCGAUGGCGAAGGCAGCCAUCUGGCCUAACACUGACGCUGAGGUGCGAAAGCAUGGGGAGCAAACAGGAUUAGAUAC